CACACACACACACACACACACACACAUACAGGUAUCUACCUUUUUAUAAAUACAUAAAGGUUUUUAAAAAGCUCCUUCCCCUGGGCUCCUAUAGCAGGUUUCUGGGCCUUCAUUAAAACACGAAUCACAAUAUUUGGAGGUGAUGUUUGCCAGUGGGUCUUGCCAUUCAGAUUACAGACUAUGAGCUCCCCGGGGUAGGAUCCAGAUGAACUGUAUUUCUCUCAUGGUGCCACAUUCAUAAUAAACAGGCAAUAAACAGGUGUUGAAUGAAUGAAGACUGUACUAUUGCCAUAGUGCAUGAUUCCUCAGUAAACUUACUCUUAGGAAUCUCCCAGAAUGAAAAAUGAUAACACAAACUUUUAUUGAGAAAUAUACCAAGCUUGGUGCUAAGUUCCUAAUUUUGUUCAUCAUGGAUUUUUUGCAUUCGUUUUGGUUUUUAAAAUAUUGUGUUCAAGUAUUAUUUACCUAGGUUACUAACUUUGGGGGGCCUCCCCUAUUUUAGUGCCUGAAGCAAGUGAGGCACCGUGAUAUGAUCCCUAUAAAACAGGGUUUGGGGCACAUGUCUGAGUAAUGCCCCAUUGCCCUCUGGGAAUCCUUCCAGAUCCUAUCACUUUAUUUGUCUGACAGAAUUGACGUUUGUUUGGUCUCACUGUACCAUUGCUCUUGUCAUCUGACCUAAAGAGAGGGUUUGCAAUCUGCAGUGCAUAUUUAUUUUGCUGCCCCAGCAACAUUCUCCCUGCUCUGGCAACAACAACUCUAUGUUGCUUGGGGACCCUCCCCUCCCCAUCCACCGAACUGACUCCAGCCUAUUGCCUAGAGGUGGGCAUGUGACUCAGCUCUGCCAUCAGAGCCUUGCAACCACUGGCCAUAGUCGUGGCUUCAGAGUAGUCAUAUGACUCAAUUACAGCCAAUGAGACUCAAUUCUGGGGGUUUGAUCUCAACUUUGGAGAAGGGAUACUUUCUCUUUUCUGGUACUUGAGAUGGGAUGUAAGCCACGUGGGGUGUUGAGCCUCUCUGAGACUGGAGCUCGUACAGAAGACAGCAGUAUGGAGUGAUGGAGUCAGGGAGGAGACAUCCUGAUAGUAUUGGAGCUCCUGGAUCCAGCUGUACAUGAAGUAUUUUUUGAUUGACCAUUCGGUGCUAGGCACUGUGUUGGGCACUGAGUGCUGGGCAGAGUGGGGAAGCAGACAUAGCCCCUGCCCACGAAGAGAUUGCUCUGCAUAGCAAAUACACCAUCUGACCGGCUGUGUCUCCAGCCUGCAGCCUGUGAGCAGCUACAAGUCGACAGCUUUGAUACCGGCUUGAAAGAACAACUUCGCUCCUGCUUCUACAGGAGAACCAAAUACGUUUAACUGGUUUCAUUCA